CUAUACUGCAGUCGAGCGAACAGACGAGGAGCUUGCUCCUCUGACGUUAGCGGCGGACGGGUGAGUAACACGUGGAUAACCUACCUAUAAGACUGGGAUAACUUCGGGAAACCGGAGCUAAUACCGGAUAAUAUAUUGAACCGCAUGGUUCAAUAGUGAAAGACGGUUUUGCUGUCACUUAUAGAUGGAUCCGCGCCGCAUUAGCUAGUUGGUAAGGUAACGGCUUACCAAGGCAACGAUGCGUAGCCGACCUGAGAGGGUGAUCGGCCACACUGGAACUGAGACACGGUCCAGACUCCUACGGGAGGCAGCAGUAGGGAAUCUUCCGCAAUGGGCGAAAGCCUGACGGAGCAACGCCGCGUGAGUGAUGAAGGUCUUCGGAUCGUAAAACUCUGUUAUUAGGGAAGAACAAAUGUGUAAGUAACUAUGCACGUCUUGACGGUACCUAAUCAGAAAGCCACGGCUAACUACGUGCCAGCAGCCGCGGUAAUACGUAGGUGGCAAGCGUUAUCCGGAAUUAUUGGGCGUAAAGCGCGCGUAGGCGGUUUUUUAAGUCUGAUGUGAAAGCCCACGGCUCAACCGUGGAGGGUCAUUGGAAACUGGAAAACUUGAGUGCAGAAGAGGAAAGUGGAAUUCCAUGUGUAGCGGUGAAAUGCGCAGAGAUAUGGAGGAACACCAGUGGCGAAGGCGACUUUCUGGUCUGUAACUGACGCUGAUGUGCGAAAGCGUGGGGAUCAAACAGGAUUAGAUACCCUGGUAGUCCACGCCGUAAACGAUGAGUGCUAAGUGUUAGGGGGUUUCCGCCCCUUAUUGCUGCAGCUAACGCAUUAAGCACUCCGCCUGGGGAGUACGACCGCAAGGUUGAAAUU
rnacentral:rRNA from 1 species